rnacentral:rRNA from 1 species
UAACCACCGGGAUGUUCAUAACCCUUUGUUGUCCGACUCUGUUGCCUCCGGGGCGACCCUGCCUUCGGGCGGGGGCUCCGGGUGGACACUUCAAACUCUUGCGUAACUUUGCAGUCUGAGUAAACUUAAUUAAUAAAUUAAAACUUUUAACAACGGAUCUCUUGGUUCUGGCAUCGAUGAAGAACGCAGCGAAAUGCGAUAAGUAAUGUGAAUUGCAGAAUUCAGUGAAUCAUCGAAUCUUUGAACGCACAUUGCGCCCCCUGGUAUUCCGGGGGGCAUGCCUGUUCGAGCGUCAUUUCACCACUCAAGCCUCGCUUGGUAUUGGGCAACGCGGUCCGCCGCGUGCCUCAAAUCGACCGGCUGGGUCUUCUGUCCCCUAAGCGUUGUGGAAACUAUUCGCUAAAGGGUGUUCGGGAGGCUACGCCGUAAAACAACCCCAUUUCUAAGGUUGACCUCGGAUCAGGUAGGGAUACCCGCUGAACUUAAGCAUAUCAAU